rnacentral:rRNA from 1 species
AACGAACGCUGGUGGCAUGUUUAACACAUGCAAGUCGAACGAGAUCUUCGGGUCUAGUGGCGCACGGGUGCGUAACGCGUGGGAAUCUGCCCUUUGGUUCGGAAUAACAGUUGGAAACGACUGCUAAUACCGGAUGAUGACGAAAGUCCAAAGAUUUAUCGCCAGAGGAUGAGCCCGCGGAGGAUUAGCUAGUGGGUGUGGUAAAGGCGCACCAAGGCGACGAUCCUUAGCUGGUCUGAGAGGAUGGUGAGCCACGCUGGGACUGCGACACGGCGCGGAAUCCUACGGGAGGCAGCAGUGGGGAAUAUUGGACAAUGGGCGAAAGCCUGAUCCAGCAAUUCCGCUUGAGUGAUGAAGGCCUUAGGGUUGUAAAGCUCUUUUACCCGUGAUGAUAAUGACAGUACCGGGAGAAUAAGCUCCGGCUAACUCCGUGCCAGCAGCCGCCGUAA